rnacentral:rRNA from 1 species
AUGCCUGCUGUGAUGGUUGGGGGUUCCUUUUAUUGGUUGAUUUCUGGGGAUUCUCAAGGAAUUCUUGAGUUUGAUUUGGACAGGCGGAGCCUAUCUUGGAUACCCAUGCCAGUGGAACACAAUGGUGGCAUGGGCAAUGGCAAUAUUUGGGUUAUGCUGGCAGAGGGUGGUGGCCUUGGUUUACUCUUCCUCAGAGGCUUUUGCGCUCAAUUAUGGAAGCAAAAGGCCGAUUGCAAGGGUGUUGCUUCAUGGGUGCUGGGAAGAAGUAUUGAUCUGGACACGGUACUUUCUUUGAAUUCAGAGGUUGAGAGAAUGUACCCAUUGGUAGUAGGGUUUGCGGAGGAUAAUAAUGUGGUGUUAUUGUGGACAUAUAUCGGUGUCUUCAUGAUUCAGUUUGAACCAUUGCAAUUCAAGAAACUUUUUGAAUCCAAAGCCUGGUAUCGUUAUUAUCCAUUCGAAGGAGUCUAUACUGCAGACACAGGCAUUGGUGGUGCACAUGAUGGAGCUAAACUUUUGAGCAAUACAUAA